rnacentral:lncRNA from 1 species
CCAACAAUGGGCAUCCUCAAAUAUCUCUGGAAGUUCUGUUGCAAGGAGAGUUGCUGAAGAAGCAGCUGGACCUUCUCAUCUCCUCCCCACUUCAUGCAACAGGAAGCCCCGGAGUAUGGGACCACCCAAAAUGCAGGAAUAAACUCAGAAAGAAGGAAGGCAUGGGAUCCGGGAAAUCGUGACCCACUUGAGGAAUGGGAGAAGUCAACCCCAAGGAUGAUGGUGAAAGGGAUCCCAUAAAACUGCUGAGUCAGGCCUAGGGUAUGACUCAGAA